rnacentral:rRNA from 1 species
GAUGAACGCUGGCGGCGUGCUUAACACAUGCAAGUCGAACGAGGUUAUUUUUCACGAUCCCUUCGGGGUGACGAAGCUUAACCGAGUGGCGGACGGGUGAGUAACGCGUGGGCAACCUGCCCCAUACAGGGGGAUAACAGCUGGAAACGGCUGACAAUACCGCAUAAGCGCACGGUACCGCAUGGUACAGUGUGAAAAACUCCGGUGGUAUAGGAUGGGCCCGCGUCUGAUUAGCAGUUGGCAGGGUAACGGCCUACCAAAGCAACGAUCAGUAGCCGACUUGAGAGAGUGAUCGGCCACAUUGGGACUGAGACACGGCCCAGACUCC